GUUUUAUUUGGUAAAGCGGAUGAUUAGAGCUCUUAGGGACAAAAUGGUCACAACCUGUUCUCAAACUUUAAAUGGGCAAGAAGC
rnacentral:rRNA from 1 species